rnacentral:lncRNA from 1 species
AAUUCUUUUGCUUAGUUGAUUUUCAACUUCAGCCUUAAAUGAUUUGAAUACGUCUAUGGAUUGGGACUUUUCGUGAAUAAGAUAUAGGUACCCAUAACGAGAGUAAUUGUCUAUGAAUGAUAAAGUAUUGUUGACCAUUCCUACAAGGAGUAGGGAAUGGCCCACAAAUAUCAGUAUGUAUCAAUUCUAAGACGUCCGAAACUCUCUUGGCACCUAAUCUAGUCUUGUUUGUUUGUUUUCCCUUGAUACACUCAAUACAAAUUU